rnacentral:lncRNA from 1 species
AAUCACCUUCCCCACUUUUUAUUUUUGAUGACUACUACUACUAUUAUUAUGGAAAAAUGAAAAUGUCUUUUUUUAAUCUUUUGUUUACCGUCAUAAAUAGUAAGCAGAUGCUUAGCUUUGGGAGGCAAAAAAAAAAAAAAAAAAAAAAAAAAGGCAUUCUUAGGCGAUCAUAAAGGGAUGAAGGAAUAUAUGGUUGUAUUUGUAUUAAGAAUGCUUUUUCCCACGGGUUUCUUGCUUUACUCUGCUGUCAGGAGAGCAAGGUUCUUCUUGUGUCGUUCUGACUUUUUUGAGUUGGGUUUUUGUUAACUUCAUCCUUCCUUACUCCUCCCAUGCUCCACACUACAUACACAUACAACACAGACCAUUCCCCAGUUCAAUUGCAGGACGUAGGUUGAGGGGGAGUGGACGUAGCUGCCAAAGGCGCGCACACCUUUCCGAAAGAGGCCCUGCCUCAUGCAUGUCGAAACUGAGGCUAAAGAUGGUGUAUUGUAUAUAACUACAAUGUAAAUAGCUUUUUAUUUCCUAAGAAAUAAUUUAAUGUUUAGUAAAAAAGAAAACAGAAAAAAAGAAAGAUGUGUGUGUUGGCUUCUGCACUCACCUUCAGAGCUGACCGCCCCCCAGCCUGCCUGAUGUGUUGGAUUCUGGAUGCUCUCCAGCUGUCUUUCACACUCAACUCUUGCGUCUCUGUCCACACCAUAGCCUGUUUCUGCUUAUGUAUAUAAAGGGCAUGGGGGAGGGCUUCUUCAGGGCAAUUGACAAAGGAAGGACUUCAGUGGCGUUCAGGAACAUGGGGGUUGUUUUUCUUCCUAGGAUAACAUGGAAGGAGUCACAAAGACUAGUAGAGACUUCAAACUCUCAUAAAGAAAUAAAGAAAAAAAAGGUAUUUAUCAGCCUGAGAAAGCAGUCCUCUCGAAGGAAGCAGCAAGGAAUCUAAAGAUCCUGUCACUCUGUUUUCUAAUUGGAUUUCGUGGAUAUGUGCAUUGCCCAUGGGGAGCCGCCCAGCUGUUCUGAGCUCAGAACAUUCCCUGGGCAUUAUGUGAGGUCCAGUGAGCACCACCUGGCAUGACAAGAAUCAGAGAGGCUUGGAAGGGAUUUCCCACUUGUGGAAUCCCGAGUCUGUGCAAACCCUGCAGGCCAAACAAAGAUCUAGUCUUUAAUGAUAUUAGUCGGAGUGAUUUUAGCAAAGCUGUGCUUUUUGCUUGUCAGAUGUACACAACUUCCUUAAAGUCAGAUGUCGGCCUUCAGUUCCCUUAAGGUAGUUCCCUCCCCUCUGGGGUGAAUGGCUUUCCUAGCACCCCAGCCCCUCCAACUGUUUAACAUGCCAAUUCUUUUCAGUAGGAUCACCUUACACCAUGCUGCGAGCAUCGUUUUCAUUUUUGGGCUCUGCCUGUGCACACUUGUUUCAAAGAAUGAUAUACUGUAUAUAUAUAUAUAUGUGUGUGUGUGAGAAGAAAGGCCACAUUUUGUACCUGUUAACCCUCAUGGGAUGCUGUUCAUAUUCCUCUUUGUGAGACACAGGGAGAAUGUGAUAGAGACAUCCAGCUGGCUGCAGCAUAGGUCAGUAUCAGAAGGGUUUCUAAAGACCCUUCUUUUUCAUUUCAAGGGUUAAAUGGGGCAGACAAUUGCAAUUUGUGUACUAAAUACUGGAAUACAGUGCAUGAGUCAUAUCUAUAUAUAUAUACAGUAUAUGUACAUAUACUGUUCUUGGUUUUACUGUUCCAUUUGAAUAUUUCUACUGUAAAAAAAAAGACAGUGGUUUUGAAAUUGUUGAAAAUAAAUGUAUUUUUGUACAUC